rnacentral:ncRNA from 2 species
AUACGAAUAUUAUAGCUUACUCGUAUAAUAGCGGUAAUAAGGUCCGCGAGUCUCUACCAGACUGCCAUUUAACGGUCUGACUACGAGUGAUCCAUUUUUGCGC